rnacentral:rRNA from 1 species
UACGUAGGGUGCGAGCGUAAUCGGAAUUACUGGGCGUAAAGCGUGCGCAGGCGGUUUUUGUAAGUCUGUCGUGAAAUCCCCGGGCUCAACCUGGGAAUUGCGAUGGAGACUGCAAGGCUAGAAAUCUGGCAGAGGGGGGGUAGAAUUCCACGUGUAGCAGUGAAAAUGCGUAGAGAUGUGGAGGAACACCGAUGCGAAGGCAGC